UCAGCCAUAAAAAUACACAUGGAGUUGGCAUGCAGGCUUCACCUGCCCACCUUUGGCAUAGGACAAUGAUUUGGACACAUGCCUUCAUCCUCUAUUUGACCAUGAACAAGGGGAGCUCCGUGAAUACAGCCUUGCUCCAGACAACAUAGUUCCUGCAACUGCAUCCAAAUCUUUAUUCUGAUGACCAAACUACUAGUCAUCAUGGGACAAUUUCCUAACUUCACUGGCGUACCAGAAAAACACAGAACACUAAGUCUGGCAAAGUCACAAAAAAGAAGAAGGAGAAGAAGGAGAAGAAGAAGAAGAAGAAGAGGAAGAGGAAGAGGAAGAAGAAGAAGAGGAAGAGGAAGAAGAAGAAGAUGUAGAGAAUCAUUUAAACUGCCCUCAUUGUGAGAAGCUUUCCCCAGUCUUUGGCAGAGCUGGCCAUGUUGACUGACAGUCACUCAAUGCAGCCUGGAAAGGUGUAUUAAGAACCACACUGGCCCUUGAGCAGGGGAGGGGUGGUUGCCUAAUAGGCAUUUUUAAUACAUGAUAAAAAUAACCUUUUCGAUAUUUAAAUCAUUUUGUUGCCAAGGGCAUUUAAUCAGGCCCAUUGCCAAAUGCUAAUUAGUGAUACAAGUGGAGGAUUUUAUUUAAAUUUGUUGUACUAAUAUGUUGAAAUAUAAAUAGAAACUGCCAGUUGAGAGGAGCUUGUCGGAGGGUGGGGUGUGGAAGGUGAAGGGGCAUCAAGCCUGAAAACAAUAGACCCAGUGUUUCCGAAGCUAAUUGAAGCAGAGACCUUGAAAGGAAAGUAAUUUACUUACAAAAAAUCUUUUAGAACAAGGUUUUCAAGUACUCUGACCCCUGGAAAUGGUAUGAAAUAAUGAUUUAGGCUAACUUGGUUGGGAUCGAGGUCACUGCUGAGUGUGUUAGAAAACAUUUUCUCGUUUGUUUUGUGCACAGCUUGACGGCUGAGAUACUGUGGGCUAAUGUGCCCUUCCAUGAGUUUAUUGUUGCUUGGACAUCGUAGCGCACCAGCGCCCAAGCCUAGAUGGUCAAGGCCAAUUAUUUAACAUGGCCUCUUGAUCCACUGAAGACACAAGAGUUUCUUUUAAGUACACUUUUAAAAUACAACAGAAUUACUGAUUACACUCUAAAACAACCAUAAAGGCUCAGUAUAGCAAAGGCACAAGCCUGUAACAUAGUUAUUGUCAGCAUCAAGUGUAUCUUACUGUGCGUAUCUACAUGCUGUCCUACUAUGUGACUGCAGGGAUGCAAGUUUGGCUACACCAGCAUCACUGCAAAUGUGAGCUGUAAGGCAAUCUUCAGUACUGCAGCAUCACUGGGCAUUAGUAUUUUAAAAUCUAUGGUCUUCUGGGGCCACUGUGCAUCUCUGAUUAAAAUGUCUUUAUGCAACUCA